rnacentral:rRNA from 1 species
ACGGCUCAGUAACACGUAGUCAACCUCACUAGCAGACAGUCACCACCCCGGGAAGACGGGAAUAAUCUCGUGAUAGACCAUGUCAUCUGGAGGGAGAGAUGGAUUUAAGGAGUGCGAGAGGUUUUAUAUCGUCAUCGCCUCAGGAUGGGACUGCGGCCGAUCAGGCUGUUGGUGAGGUAAUGGCCCACCAAACCUGUAACCGGUACGGGCUUUGAGAGAAGGAGCCCGGAGAUGGACACUGAGACAAGGGUCCAGGUCCUAUGGGGCGCAGCAGGCGCGAAACCUCUGCAAUGCGCGAAAGCGUGACAGGGUUAAUCCGAGUGGUUUCCGUUGAGGGGAUCUUUUGUCGCCUGUAAAAAUGCCACAGAAUAAGGGGAGGGCAAGUCUGGUGUCAGCCGCCGCGGUAAUACCAGCUCCUCGAGUGGUCGGGGCGAUUAUUGGGCCUAAAGCAUCCGUAGCCGGUUCUCCAGGUUCUCUGUCAAAUCCAACGGUUUAACCAGAGGGCCUCAGGAGGGUACCGCAGGACUAGGAGGGCGGGAGAGGCAAGCGGUACUCACGGUAGGGGUAAAUUCCUUUUGUCCCAGGAAGACCACCAGUGUCGAAGGGCUUCCACCAGAACGCGCUCGACGGUGAGGGAUGAAAGCUGGGGGAGCGAACCGGAUUAGAUACCCGGGUAGUCCCACCCGUAAACGAUGCAGGCUAGAUGAUCCGGUGGCAAAUCGCGAUCUCAGUGUCGCAGGGAAGCCGUUAAGUUUGCCGCCUGGGGAGUACGGUCGCAAGACUGAAACUUAAAGGAAUUGGCGGGGGAG